ACUAUGUGGUUGUUGUGACAGUGAGGUGUUACCUGUGUACAGUGAGGUGUUACAUGUGUACUAUGUGGAUGUUAUGGCAGACAGUGAGAUGUUACCUGUGUACUAUGUGGUUGUUAUGGCAGACAGUGAGGUGUUACCUGUGUACUAUGUGGAUGUUGUGACAGUGAGGUAUUACCUGUGUACUAUGUGGUUUUUGUAACAGUUAGGUGUUAACUGUGUACUAUGUGGUUGUUGUGACAGUUAGGUGUUAACUGUGUACUAUGUGGUUGUUGUGACAGUGAGGUGUUAACUGUGUACUAUGUGGUUGUUGUGACAGUGAGGUAUUACCUGUGUACUAUGUGGUUGUUGUGACAGUGAGGUGUUACCUGUGUACUAUGUGGUUGUUGUGACAGUUAGGUGUUAACUGUGUACUAUGUGGUUGUUGUGACAGUGAGGUGUUAUCUGUGUACUAUGUGGUUGUUGUGACAGUGAGGUGUUACCUGUGUACUAUGUGGUUGUUGUGACAGUGAGGUGUUACCUGUGUACUAUGUGGUUGUUGUGACAGUGAGGUGUUACCUGUGUACUAUGUGGUUGUUGUGACAGUGAGGUGUUACCUGUUUACUAUGUGGUUGUUAUUGCAGACAGUGAGAUGUUACCUGUGUACUGUGGUUGUUGUGACAGUGAGGUGUUACCUGUGUACUAUGUGGAUGUUGAGACAGUGAGGUGUUACCUGUGUACUAUGUGGUUGUUGUGACAGUGAGG